rnacentral:rRNA from 1 species
CUUGGUGACGAUAGAGAAAAGGUCCACCUGUUCCCAUUCCGAACACAGAAGUUAAGCUUUUCAUCGCCGACAAUACUUGGUUGGAAACGGCCCGGUAAGAUAGGACAUUGCCAAGA